rnacentral:lncRNA from 1 species
CCGGAAAUUCGAACAUAUAAACUCAAAACUAAGCAAAAAGACUCAACCAGAAACAUUGAAAUGGUCAUCCUAAGCUUACGUACUUAAUAUAUAAUUAAGAAAAACUUAAAACAUUAUGAAUGUUAAAAAUGAAAAGAGUACAAAUCAAAGUUGGUAUCUGAAUGUAAAAUACAAACAAGUGAGCGUUGGUAUAUUCUACAGUUUUAAGUAGGUUCGUACUUAGUGUAUAUUUACUGGUCUCUUGAAACCCAAGUCAACGUUUGUUGUGGCCACUACGGCUCUCCUCUCCGGCUGACGAGUUACUACUGUUCUUCUUCCAACUCUGGCACUUGUAUGAGGUCGUGUCUCCUUCACUCUUGUUUUCACUUUGUGACGUGUAGGAACUUGUAUCUCCUUCGUUCUUCUUCCCACUCUGAAACUUGCAAGAGCUCGAAUCUCCUUCACUCUUCUUCUGAGGUUUGGAGCUUGAAUCUCCAUCACUUUCCUUUUGAGACUUGGAGCUCAAGUCUCCAUCAUCUUUCUUCUGAGACUUGGAGUUUGAAUCUCCAUCACUCUUCUUCUGACACUUGGAGUUGGAAUCUCCAUCACUCUUCUUCUGAGUCUUGGAGUUGGAAUCUCCAUCAUUCUUCUUCUGACACUUGGAGUUAGAAUCUCCAUCACUCUUCUUCUGAGUCUUGGAGUUAGAAUCUCCAUCACUCUUCUUCUGAGUCUUGGAGUUAGAAUCUCCAUCACUCUUCUUCUGAGUCUUGGAGUUAGAAUCUCCAUCACUCUUCUUCUGAGUCUUGGAGUUGGAAUCUCCUUUGUUCUUCUUCUGAGACUUUGAGCUAGAGUCUCCAUCGCUCUUCUUCUGAGACUUGGAGCUAGAAUCUCCUUUGUUCUUCUUUUGAGACUUGGAGCCAGAGUCUCCUUCGUUCUUCUUCAAACCCGUGGAUUUGGAGUUAGAUGGGAUGGAGUCAACCCUAAGAUUCUUAGCCGAGAAGCAGUGACGAACAUGAACCUUAUGGCACACAGUCUCAGUGGAACAGCUUCCUUGCACGUUCACCACAAGUAUUGCUUCUUUAUCCCACGUGUCCUCACACCACCAAUUCUCAGGAAUCCCAUUAAGUACCGUGGCUCCGCUGGGGCAAUUCUUGCCGGAUUUUUUACAGUCCCAUAGAGAAGUUCCUUGAGCGUCAAGAACUCCGCCGUAGACGGUGACGCCGUCGAGAUGCUGGAAAAAAAUCCAGUAGUCUUCAUUUCCGAUUACUCGAUAAUCAGCCGGAGCCACCAACGAACCGUCGAUACGGAAUGUAACAGGCUUAGGCUUGCACUUGGAACCGUCGAAGUUAAGGCUCCUUAACAAGAACCGGCCUUUAGGAACUACAAUGGUUACUGGACCAGACGAGGCACAAGCGGUUUCCCAAACCGCCAUAAACGCUUUAGUUGCGUCUGUUUUUCCGUCCGGUUUAGCUCCGAAAGACAAGACAUUGUAGGAUUGAGCAGAACAAGAGGAGAUGAAGAAGAAGACGAAGAGAACAAGAAGGGAAGCCAUUGUAUGUCGUUAACGUACACUUGUUUAGAGAUACUUAAAGAGAGAAGAAUGGAGUAGUGCGGUAGUGGUGCUGGUGUGGGGAGUUGUAGCGGUUAUGGAAUGCAUUUAUAGUGUUUGUGAUGUAUAAGAAGAUAUUUUUUUGUUUGUUUUGUUAGAUUUGUUUACUUACUAAUUUUUGGAAUAGAAAAAUGAUUAUUGGAUUUGGCAUGAACAUAAAGCAACCUUUUGAAUGAAUAAGAAAUUAGGUGUCAAUUUUUUUUUGCGUGAUUGUUAUUAUUCAUUCAAGAGGUACAUAUGAUAUGACUAUAUAUCCAAGAUCUGUUGUUAUGUUAAAAUGGAAUAUUAGCUUCAUAUACAAUAUAUAUGAAAAAUAGAAUUAGAAAGCAAUGCUCAGCUAAAAAAUGAAAUAAAUACAUAAUAAACUACAUUUUCUCUAUGAACUUUUAGCUCCGGAUGUUUAAGAUUUCAAACAUUCAUUCGAGUUUAGUCCUGAAUUCAAAAGUUAACAUAAUCUAAUCUUAUAUUUUACAUAUUUUUAGUAAAUUUGUUUGAAAGUUAAAGAACUAACAUAAUCUUUUGUUUUCCAAAUUAAAAACGCAUACCUUUUUGUUCUUUACAACGCAAGCAAAAACUAAAUUUUUGAAAAUAAGUUUAUAUGAAUAAUUCUACCAAAAAGUAUAUAAAUAAUAUCUUGUGUGAAAGAGAAAUCAGGAGAAGUAGAAUAAAAGAUAGAAAAGUGAAAUUCCAGUGGUUAAUAUAUUUUUAUUGGAGAAAUACACGAAACAACGUUACGAAGAGUUCGUUAAUUCAUGAGAAGAACACGCAAAGCUGCAAAACUAAUUUGCUUUUAUUUCUUUUAUUACAUCUACUUUAUUAAAAUAGCGUAUUAGCGAAAAUCACGAGUAUGGAUAACAAAUUCGUUUUAGACUUGAUGAAAUGAUUUUUUUUUCGUGAUGUUGCUCAUGAUUAAUGUUUUAUCUAAUCGUUCUCAGGUACCUAAAAAGUUUCCGUUCCGUACUAAACGUCUUGCAAGUAUUUUUUUGUAUCCGAUCAGAAUCUAUGGAAAAAAGAUAGAGUUGAAUUCCAUAUAAUGAUAGAAUUGUAUUGCUUUCACCAUCAGUAGACAUAGUUUUCUUAUUUAUUUACGUGAAAAGGAGAAAAACCAGAGUAAUUACAUAAUGACUUCGAAUGGUGACUGCGGUUUGAGCGGUGCGGGAUAAUCAGUUCAACUGCGGUGCAGUUUUAACAGUUAUUAAAAUGUAUAAAUAUAUACUAUAUGUAGAAAUUUUUGUUAUUUUUAACUGCGGGACGGAGCGGGACGAAGGUCACCAUUCGAAGCCAAUAUUGAAACAUUAAUAAAAACAUAAUCAUUGGCAGGGGCCUAAGGCAGGGUACUAGUAGUUGGGUCAGCUGAUAUUUUUUUUAAAAUAUUUGUUUUUCCUCAAGAAAAAAUUAUGGAUCCCACUAAAAAUAAAAAUUUAACUCCACCAAAAAUAUUUAAUUUUAAUAUAAAAUUUUUUUGGCUCCGCCACCGAUCACAGGGAUUGUGAUACUCUUUCCUUUUAUUGUAAGCAUGGUAAUAAAACCAAAUAAAAAAUCAUAGGUCUGAGAACUGCUGACUUGGUACAAACAGUUAGUUAAAUUUAUGUUUUGUUAAUAUGUAGAAUAGUGGAACAGUAGGUAACUCUUUGAAAUGAGAAACCAGGGAUUUUGACCCCAAAAGCAAAGAGAAACCAGGGACUGAGAUCAUUUUUCAGUUUUGUUUCCUUUACUAUUAAACAAAAGGAUUCAAUGAAUAAUUGCAGAAAUAACCCGUCAAAUUUAUCUUAUAUAUACGGUUCUGUCUUUUAGGCUUGAGUUGAGUGUACCUUAUUUCGUAUAUCUUAAGGUAGCAACCAAUUGAUUUAAAGAUCCUUCGUCAUUGGCAAUUUUGUUGAUUCAAAUCGGUAACUUAAAUAAGAACAGAUCAAUGCUUGAAAAAGAACGAGGAACCUAAUAUUCAAUGGUCACGAGUCACGACUCACAUUGGCAAUGCUUGCUACCUAUGUAAUACGCAUGAUGAUUAGUGGAGAGUGGGGACACAAUAUCAAUGCUGAAAAUUCAUGUGGCCAAUUAUUUUAGCAAACGAUUGGCUUUUAGAGAUAUUUUUGUUUUGCCAGAAAACAGAGAUUGUUUUUUUUUGGAGGAAAACAAAGAUUAGGUACUAGUGAAAAUUCAUUAAAUAAAAAUAGGAAAAUGUCGUGUAAAAUAUAAAUAGCAAAAGAAAAGAAAAGAGUUUAUGCUACGGUAAAUAAUCAAAUUAUUUCUGAAAUAUGUGAUAUUGUGUUCCCACUCACCAUAAAUCAUCCUCUUAUGUUAGAUGAUACCAACAAUGUUUCAUAAUCAAUCUCCGAGUAAUUGUGUAAGAAUUAAAAUUAAUCUCUUCUGAAAUAUAUGUGAUGUAAAGGUUAACGAUGGUGGCGUGGAACAACAUGGUUACGUUAUUAAAAAAAAAACAUGGUUACGUUAUGGAACAUGACAAGUGGAAAUACUACGGAGGAAAUAUUGGGCCAAUUUCUUUAUAGAAAAAAGAAGAAAUUGGGUUGCGCCAAUGAUCACACCGAAAGGUUCCUCGAAUCUCCCCUAUAUUAAAUGUUAUCCUUAUACUUAAAAAUAAUUUCUUAAGUCAAACAUUUGAUUUAAUCAUAUUUUUUCAAGUUCAUGCACUUCAAUUGACGUAAUAUUAACAAGAAAUAUAAGAUGAAAUGAUCAAUUAAGUUAUUAACUGGUCAAUUAUACUUUUUCAGUAAUUUCUUAAUUAAUUUAUCAAGGUCAAUGAAAGGAUCAUGAUGCGCCGUAAUAAUACUAGCUGCAUGUUCAAGGAUCGAAGUUGAGUGUGACUCAAUCUUUCCUUAUACCUAGAUGAAAACUUGCGUACGUAGAAUAGGAUAAGCUUGUAGCCUAAGUUAUUUACGUUGUUAAUCCACUCUUGAUUAUAUGUUAUGGUCAUAUAUCUGAUUCCCACCACCAUCUUGAUUAUAUUUGAAGGUAGACCAAUCAUUAGCACCGAGUUAAGUUUGAAAACUCGAUAACGAUAAAAACAAAAUAAAUCUGAAAACUCUAGUCACACAGUGUGAUAGUCAAGACCAAAGUCCAACACAGAUUGCCUCCACGUCCAAGCUUCAGCUGGUGUGACCAUAACCGAUAACACGUUUCAAAGCGGAGACCACCGUGAGUCUAAACUCAACUUCGGUCCAGGCCAUGGAAUCAGGUAUGACAACUAACAAUGACUUGGAAAGCAAGAUUUCAAUAUUUUGAAGAUACUGAUUAGAUUUCAGUAUUGGGAGUCUAGGGAAAGACACUAAUGAAGUUGGAGAACAUAACAUAACGUUGGUGAGCUCUGUUUUUUUUUCCGGGUUCGGAUCAAGACAUGGGCUAGACAAAGCACAGGUUUUGUUAGAAACUUUUUGUUUCAGAAUCUGGUCAUGAAAAACGUUUAGUAUCCGAUCUUUGUUGAUCAGAAAUAUUGUCCGACUCAUCAAGGUUGUCCUAAACAGGUAACACAAAACCAAUCAAAUUAAAAAUGUAUUGAAGAUGAGAUUGAAACUCAUUUAGAGUUAUAUCCAGCAUUCAAAUCAAGGAUUCAUAUCCCUAAUCCCCGGAAAUUCGAACAUAUAAACUCAAAACUAAGCAAAAAGACUCAACCAGAAACAUUGAAAUGGUCAUCCUAAGCUUACGUACUUAAUAUAUAAUUAAGAAAAACUUAAAACAUUAUGAAUGUUAAAAAUGAAAAGAGUACAAAUCAAAGUUGGUAUCUGAAUGUAAAAUACAAACAAGUGAGCGUUGGUAUAUUCUACAGUUUUAAGUAGGUUCGUACUUAGUGUAUAUUUACUGGUCUCUUGAAACCCAAGUCAACGUUUGUUGUGGCCACUACGGCUCUCCUCUCCGGCUGACGAGUUACUACUGUUCUUCUUCCAACUCUGGCACUUGUAUGAGGUCGUGUCUCCUUCACUCUUGUUUUCACUUUGUGACGUGUAGGAACUUGUAUCUCCUUCGUUCUUCUUCCCACUCUGAAACUUGCAAGAGCUCGAAUCUCCUUCACUCUUCUUCUGAGGUUUGGAGCUUGAAUCUCCAUCACUUUCCUUUUGAGACUUGGAGCUCAAGUCUCCAUCAUCUUUCUUCUGAGACUUGGAGUUUGAAUCUCCAUCACUCUUCUUCUGACACUUGGAGUUGGAAUCUCCAUCACUCUUCUUCUGAGUCU